rnacentral:rRNA from 1 species
GCGCUGCAGAUUUGAGGAAGCCUGCUCCUAGUACGAGAGGACCGGAGUGGACGCACCUCUGGUGUAUCGGUUGUCACGCCAGUGGCAUUGCCGAGUAGCUAAGUGUGGAAGAGAUAACCGCUGAAAGCAUCUAAGCGGGAAACUCGUUUCAAGAUGAGAUCUGCCGGGGCCUUGAGCCCCCUGAAGAGUCGUUCGAGACCAGGACGUUGAUAGGCUGGGUGUGGA